GGUUGACCUCGGAUCAGGUAGGAGUUACCCGCUGAACUUAAGCAUAUCAAUAAGCGGAGGAAAAGAAACCAACCGGGAUUGCCUCAGUAACGGCGAGUGAAGCGGCAAGAGCUCAAAUUUGAAAUCUGGCCCCUGGGGGUCCGAGUUGUAAUUUGCAGAGGAUGCUUCGGGUGCGGUCCCCAUCUAAGUGCCC
rnacentral:rRNA from 1 species